AAAGGCUUCGGCUCAUUAGUAAUUUUGGUCGCUUGGUGAUUAUGGAAGUAUAGGAAUGGAUGUGUCUUUAAGGGGGCCUCUCAUAAUUUCAGUGUCAUGAUGCAAGAUAUAAGGGAUGAGGCCAAGUUGUGGUGUAUGGCAGGGGCUAAAGGCCGCAGUAGCACUAGCAUCUGGCCAUAG
rnacentral:rRNA from 1 species